rfam:Valsa mali strain 03-8 chromosome 10, whole genome shotgun sequence.
GGUCCGUUGGCCCAAUGGCAAGGCGUCUGACUACGAUUCGCACCUGGCAACAGCGCGAUGACUUGAUAUCAGGAGAUUGCAGGUUCGAUCCCUGCACGGAUCA